rnacentral:rRNA from 1 species
UGGGGAAUUGUUCACAAUGGGCGCAAGCCUGAUGACGCAACGCCGCGUGGGGGAUGAAGGUCUUCGGAUUGUAAACCCCUGUCGAAUGGGACGAAAGACCCGGGAGCUAAUCAUCCCGGGAGUGACGGUACCGUUAAAGGAAGCCACGGCUAACUCUGUGCCAGCAGCCGCGGUAAUACAGAGGUGGCAAGCGUUGUUCGGAAUUACUGGGCGUAAAGGGCGCGUAGGCGGCCAUCUAAGUCAGACGUGAAAUCCCCCGGCUUAACCUGGGAACUGCGUCUGAUACUGGACGGCUUGAGUUUGGGAGAGGGAUGCAGAAUUCCAGGUGUAGCGGUGAAAUGCGUAGAUAUCUGGAGGAAUACCGGUGGCGAAGGCGGCAUCCUGGACUAAUACUGACGCUGAGGCGCGAAAGCUAGGGGAGCAAACGGG